GGCAGUGGUAGCUCAGUGGUUAAGAUGUUGAACUACUGCUCAGGUGGUCAUGAGUUCAAAUCCCAGCACUGCCA